CACCCUGACACCAUGUACCAUUCAGCCAUGGAUUUGACACAGCUUCUUUUACUGGCUGUCUGUCUAACAGGUGUGGGGGGUCAGAUACUGACCGAAUCUGAGCCUGUGGUCAUUAAUCCUGGAGGAUCUCACAGACUGACCUGCACAGCCUCUGGGUUCACAUUUAGUGGCUACUAUAUGGCUUGGGUCAGACAAGCCCCUGGAAAAGGGCUGGAGUGGAUUGCAUACAUUGGCACUGGUAGCACCCCUAUAUAUUACUCCCAGUCAGUCCAGGGGAGAUUCACCAUCUCCAGGCAUGAUUCCAGCAGCCAGCUGUACCUACAGAUGAACAGCCUGAAGAGUGAAGACACAGCUGUGUAUUACUGUGCACGAGAGACACAGUGACUGAAUGCAAUGGCC